GUCUACAGCCGUACCACCCUGAACACACCUGAUCUCGGCUGAUUUGGGAAGCUAAGCAGGGUCAGGUCUAAUUAGUACUUGAUUGGACACCACUUGGGAAUACUGGGUGCUGUAGGCA
rnacentral:rRNA from 1 species